AAAAAGUGAUAUAAGUGCUGGAUUUUUGGUUAACAUGACAUAUUGCAAACUCAGUCUUAAAAAGUGACGUGUGUUGGAUUUUUGGUUAACAUGACAUAUUGCAAACUCAGUCUUAAAAAGUGACGUGUGUUGGAUUUUUGGUUAACAUGACAUAUUGCAAACUCAGCCUUAAAAAGUGACGUGUGUUGGAUUUUUGGUUAACAUGACAUAUUGCAAACUCAGUCUUAAAAAGUGACGUGUGUUGGAUUUUUGGUUAACAUGACAUAUUGCAAACUCGGUCUUAAAAAGUGACGUAAGUGUCGGACUUUCACAGUUAAGUUCACAUCCUUUAAAACCAAGUCGGAAAAAAUUAUACAAAACAAAUCAACACAACCAGCUAACCACGCCUUGAAAAAUGGGCCAAAAAACGCAAACCAGCCACAGUGUUGAUGUAGACUAAUACGACGUUUAAAAAAUAAGGCGAUAGUGGGCUAGGUAAAGAGACAGGUAGGAAAGGGCAGGUGAGGUAGGGCCAGGCAUCAAUUAGGAGAGACUCAGGUAAGGUUAGGAUAGUUGGGUUACACUUAGGUUACAUAUAGUGAAGUGAGGUUAGGUUAGGUUGGGUUAGGUUAGGUUUGAUGAGGAUAGUGAGGUUAGAUAAGGUUAAGUUAGAUUGGGGUACAUUAGGUUACAUCUAGUUAGGUUGGGUUACAAUUAGGUUACAAAGAGUGAGGUUAGGUAAGGUUAGGUAGGUUAGGUUACAUACAGUGAGGUUAGGGUUUGGGUUAGUUAGGUUACAAAGAGUGAGGUUAGGUUAGACUGGGUUCCAUAUAGUUAGGUUAGAUGAGGUAUAGUGAGGUUAGGUUAGUUUGGGUUACAUAUAGUUAGGUUACAUAAGUUAAGAGUGAGGUUGGGUGAGGUUAGGUUAGGGGUAGGUAAGGUAGGAUAAGUAAGAUAAGAUGAGAUAAGAUACGGUAAGGUAAGGUAAGGUAAGUUUUGGUAAGGUUAGGGUAAACUGAGGAUAAUGAAGUCUGGAUUAGGUUAAGGAAAGGUAAAAAAGGAUGAAGAAAAGUCAGGUAUGGUUAGGUUAGUCUGAAAUUGGUUAUGGGUAGGUAAGGUAAGGUACGGUAAGGUAAGUUUAAGACAGAUUAAAAAUAGGAAAGUCUGGAUUAGGCAAGAUAUAAUGAAGAAAGGUAAGGUAUGAAGGUUAGUUUAAAAAUUGUUGAGCAGGUAAGGUAAGGUAAGGUAAGGUUAGGUUAGGAUAGAGAUAGGAAAGUCUGGAUUAGGUUAAGGAAAGGUAAGAUAGAAUGAAGAAAGGUUAAAUAAGGUUAGUGUGAAAUUCAUUGGGGAUAGGUUAGGUAAGGUUGUUAGGUAAGGAACAGUUAGGUAAAUUCAGGUUAGGUAGGGCAAGGUGUCAGUAUGAGGGAAGGAAAUAGAAUGAAAAAUAAACAAAACAAAACAAAGAAAAG